rnacentral:SRP_RNA from 1 species
AGCUAGGAACCAUGCGAGCAGACGCCGCCUAACUCCGCCAGGACCGGAAGGAAGCAACGGUAAGCGGAAGUCUGUUGCGCCGUGGCCGGUUCUCUCCGUC